rnacentral:rRNA from 1 species
GACGAACGCUGGCGGCGUGCUUAACACAUGCAAGUCGAACGGAAAGGCCCUGCUUUUGUGGGGUGCUCGAGUGGCGAACGGGUGAGUAACACGUGAGUAACCUGCCCUUGACUUUGGGAUAACUUCAGGAAACUGGGGCUAAUACCGGAUAGGAGCUCCUGCUGCAUGGUGGGGGUUGGAAAGUUUCGGCGGUUGGGGUUGGACUCGCGGCUUAUCAGCUUGUUGGUGGGGUAGUGGUUUACCAAGGCUUUGACGGGUAGCCGGCCUGAGAGGGUGACCGGCCACAUUGGGACUGAGAUACGGCCCAGUCUCCAACGGGAGGCAGUAGGCGGUAAUAUUGCACAAUGGCCGGAAGCCUGAGGCAGCGAGGCCGCGUGCGGGAUGGCGUCCUUCGGGUUGUAAACCGCUUUCGCCUGUGCUGACGCGUGCGGGACGGUAAUGAGUAAGGAAGCACCGGCUAACUACGUG